UACGGAGGAUCCGAGCGUUAUCCGGAAUCAUUGGGUUUAAAGGGUCCGUAGGUGGACAAUUAAGUCAGGGGUGAAAUCCCGCAGCUCAACUGUGGAAUUGCCUUUGAUACUGGUUGUCUUGAGUCGUUGUGAAGUGGUUGGAAUAUGUAGUGUAGCGGUGAAAUGCAUAGAUAUUACAUAGAACACCGAUUGCGAAGGCAGAUCACUAACAACGUACUGACACUGAUGGACGAAAGCGUGGGGAGCGAACAGG
rnacentral:rRNA from 1 species